GAGUUUGAUCGUGGCUCAGAUUGAACGCUGGCGGCAUGCCUUACACAUGCAAGUCGAACGGCAGCACGGGAGCUUGCUCCUGGUGGCGAGUGGCGAACGGGUGAGUAAUGCAUCGGAACGUAUCCUGGAGUGGGGGAUAACGUAGCGAAAGUUACGCUAAUACCGCAUAUUCUGUGAGCAGGAAAGCGGGGGACCUUCGGGCCUCGCGCUCUUGGAGCGGCCGAUGUCGGAUUAGCUAGUUGGUGAGGUAAAGGCUCACCAAGGCGACGAUCCGUAGCAGGUCUGAGAGGAUGAUCUGCCACACUGGAACUGAGACACGGUCCAGACUCCUACGGGAGGCAGCAGUGGGAAGUUUUGGACAGUGGGGCAACCCUGAUCCAGCCAUGCCGCGUGAGUGAAGAAGGCCUCGG
rnacentral:rRNA from 1 species